rnacentral:rRNA from 1 species
AGAGUUUGAUCAUGGCUCAGAACGAACGCUGGCGGCAGGCCUAACACAUGCAAGUCGAACGCCCCGCAAGGGGAGUGGCAGACGGGUGAGUAACGCGUGGGAACGUGCCCUGAGGUACGGGACAACCAGGGGAAACUCUGGCUAAUACCGUAUGAGCCCCGAGAGGGGGAAAGAUUGAUCGCCUCAGGAUCGGCCCGCGUCGGAUUAGCUAGUUGGUGUGGUAACGGCGCACCAAGGCGACGAUCCGUAGCUGGUCUGAGAGGACGGCCAGCCACACUGGGACUGAGACACGGCCCAGACUCCUACGGGAGGCAGCAGUGGGGAAUAUUGCACAAUGGGCGAAAGCCUGAUGCAGCGACGCCGCGUGAGGGAUGACGGCCUUCGGGUUGUAAACCUCUUUCAGUAGGGAAGAAGCGAAAGUGACGGUACCUGCAGAAGAAGCGCCGGCUAACUACGUGCCAGCAGCCGCGGUAAUACGUAGGGCGCAAGCGUUAUCCGGAAUUAUUGGGCGUAAAGAGCUCGUAGGCGGUUUGUCGCGUCUGCCGUGAAAGUCCGGGGCUCAACUCCGGAUCUGCGGUGGGUACGGGCAGACUAGAGUGAUGUAGGGGAGACUGGAAUUCCUGGUGUAGCGGUGAAAUGCGCAGAUAUCAGGAGGAACACCGAUGGCGAAGGCAGGUCUCUGGGCAUUAACUGACGCUGAGGAGCGAAAGCAUGGGGAGCGAACAGGAUUAGAUACCCCGGUAGUCC